GCCAGCAGCAGCUACAACAUGGUCAUCCGGGAGGACAACCAGACCAACCGCCUGCAGGAGGCUCUGAACCUCUUCAAGAGCAUCUGGAACAACAGAUGGCUGCGCACCAUCUCUGUGAUCCUGUUCCUCAACAAGCAAGAUCUGCUCGCUGAGAAAGUCCUUGCUGGGAAAUCGAAGAUUGAGGACUACUUUCCAGAAUUUGCUCGCUACACUACUCCUGAGGAUGGUGUCCCGGAGAGGACCCACGCGUGACCCGGGCCAAGUACUUCAUUCGAGAUGAGUUUCUGAGGAUCAGCACUGCCAGUGGAGAUGGGCGUCACUACUGCUACCCUCAUUUCACCUGCGCUGUGGACACUGAGAACAUCCGCCGUGUGUUCAACGACUGCCGUGACAUCAUUCAGCGCAUGCACCUUCGUCAGUACGAGCUGCUCUAAGAAGGGAACCCCCAAAUUUAAUUAAAGCCUUAAGCACAAUUAAUUAAAAGUGAAACGUAAUUGUACAAGCAGUUAAUCACCCACCAUAGGGCAUGAUUAACAAAGCAACCUUUCCCUUCCCCCGAGUGAUUUUGCGAAACCCCCUUUUCCCUUCAGCUUGCUUAGAUGUUCCAAAUUUAGAAAGCUUAAGGCG
rnacentral:lncRNA from 1 species